UACGUAGGUGGCGAGCGUUAUCCGGAAUUAUUGGGCGUAAAGAGGGAGCAGGCGGCACUAAGGGUCUGUGGUGAAAGAUCGAAGCUUAACUUCGGUAAGCCAUGGAAACCGUAGAGCUAGAGUGUGUGAGAGGAUCGUGGAAUUCCAUGUGUAGCGGUGAAAUGCGUAGAUAUAUGGAGGAACACCAGUGGCGAAGGCGACGAUCUGGCGCAUAACUGACGCUCAGUCCCGAAAGCGUGGGGAGCAAAUAGG
rnacentral:rRNA from 3 species